rnacentral:rRNA from 1 species
AGUCGAGGGGCAGCAUGAACUUAGCUUGCUAAGUUUGAUGGCGACCGGCGCACGGGUGAGUAACACGUAUCCAACCUGCCGAUGACUCGGGGAUAGCCUUUCGAAAGAAAGAUUAAUACCCGAUGGCAUAGUUCUUCCGCAUGGUAGAACUAUUAAAGAAUUUCGGUCAUCGAUGGGGAUGCGUUCCAUUAGGUUGUUGGCGGGGUAACGGCCCACCAAGCCUUCGAUGGAUAGGGGUUCUGAGAGGAAGGUCCCCCACAUUGGAACUGAGACACGGUCCAAACUCCUACGGGAGGCAGCAGUGAGGAAUAUUGGUCAAUGGACGAGAGUCUGAACCAGCCAAGUAGCGUGAAGGAUGACUGCCCUAUGGGUUGUAAACUUCUUUUAUACGGGAAUAAAGUGAGGCACGCGUGC